AGUGAACGCUGGCGGUAGGCCUAACACAUGCAAGUCGAACGGCAGCACAGUAAGAGCUUGCUCUUACAGGUGGCGAGUGGCGGACGGGUGAGGAAUACAUCGGAAUCUACUUUUUCGUGGGGGAUAACGUAGGGAAACUUACGCUAAUACCGCAUACAACCUACGGGUGAAAGCAGGGGAUCUUCGGACCUUGCGCGAUUGAAUGAGCCGAUGUCGGAUUAGCUAGUUGGCGGGGUAAAGGCCCACCAAGGCGACGAUCCGUAGCUGGUCUGAGAGGAUGAUCAGCCACACUGGAACUGAGACACGGUCCAGACUCCUACGGGAGGCAGCAGUGGGGAAUAUUGGACAAUGGGCGCAAGCCUGAUCCAGCCAUACCGCGUGGGCGAAGAAGGCCUUCGGGUUGUAAAGCCCUUUUGUUGGGAAAGAAAAGCAGCAGGUUAAUACCCCGCUGUUCUGACGGUACCCAAAGAAUAAGCACCGGCUAACUUCGUG
rnacentral:rRNA from 1 species